GGUCAAGCGAUGAAGCGCAUACGGUGGAUGCCUAGGCAGCCAGAGGCGAUGAAAGACGUGGAAGCCUGCGAUAAGGCUCGGCGAGGUGGCAAACAACCUGUGACCCGGGCAUCUCUGAAUGGGGAAACCCACCCACGGUAACGUGGGUAUCCCGCACUGAAUACAUAGGUGACGGGAGGCGAACCAGGGGAACUGAAACAUCUAAGUACCCUGAGGAAAAGAAAUCAACCGAGAUUCCCCCAGUAGCGGCGAGCGAACGGGGACCAGCCCUUAAGCCGGUGACUGAUUAGACGAACGCGUUGGGAAGCGCGGCCAUAGCGGGUGAUAGCCCCGUAGUCGAAAAUCUGAUCCGGUGAAAUCGAGUAGGUCGGGGCACGAGAAACCUUGACUGAAGACGGGGGGACCAUCCUCCAAGGCUAAAUACUCCUGGCUGACCGAUAGUGAACCAGUACCGUGAGGGAAAGGCGAAAAGAACCCCGGAGAGGGGAGUGAAAUAGAUCCUGAAACCGUAUGCGUACAAGCAGUGGGAGCAGACUCGUUCUGUGACCGCGUACCUUUUGUAUAAUGGGUCAGCGACUUAUUUUCAGUGGCGAGCUUAACCGUAUAGGGGAGGCGUAGGGAAACCGAGUCUUAACUGGGCGACCAGUCGCUGGGAAUAGACCCGAAACCGGGCGAUCUAUCCAUGAGCAGGUUGAAGGUUGAGUAACAUCAACUGGAGGACCGAACCCACGUAUGUUGAAAAAUGCGGGGAUGACUUGUGGAUCGGAGUGAAAGGCUAAUCAAGCCCGGAGAUAGCUGGUUCUCCUCGAAAGCUAUUUAGGUAGCGCCUCACGUAGCACCGCCGGGGGUAGAGCACUGUUUCGGCUAGGGGGUCAUCCCGACUUACCAACCCGAGGCAAACUCCGAAUACCGGUGAGUGACGCGUGGGAGACACACAGUGGGUGCUAACGUCCAUUGUGAAAAGGGAAACAACCCAGACCGUCAGCUAAGGUCCCCAAAUCCUGGUUAAGUGGGAAACGAUGUGGGAAGGCUCAGACAGCUAGGAGGUUGGCUUAGAAGCAGCCAUCCUUUAAAGAAAGCGUAAUAGCUCACUAGUCGAGUCGGCCUGCGCGGAAGAUAUAACGGGGCUAAACCAGGUACCGAAGCUACGGGUUCAUCGAAUGAUGAGCGGUAGAGGAGCGUCGUGUAAGCCAAUGAAGGUGAGUCGAGAGGCUUGCUGGAGGUAUCACGAGUGCGAAUGCUGACAUGAGUAACGACAAGGG
rnacentral:rRNA from 1 species